rnacentral:rRNA from 1 species
GUUUUUUCUCAGGCAGCAAUGUCUGGGAAACGUUCACUGUGAACAAAUCAGGACGCUUAGAGUAUGGUUACAAGAAUGACUCAGCGCAGUAUGAAUUUUUUGUUUUCUUCGGAAAACAAGCUCAACGAGAGCCAUCGGGGGUAGAUCUAUCUCAUGACGAGUGGUGGAAUACGGUGACUCAUGAGAGAGACACGGAGGCGAAGGCGUCUACCUAGAGGGUUUCUGUCGAUCAAGGGCGAGAGUAGGAGUAUCCAACAGGAUUAGAGACCCUGGUAGUUCCUACUAUAAACGAUGCCGACAGGAGUUUGUCAUUUAAUAAUGGCAGAAUCUUUGGAGAAAUCAUAGUUCUUGGGCUCUGGGGGAACUACGACCGCAAGGCUGAAACUUGAAGGAAUUGACGGAAGGGCACACCAGGGGUGGAGCCUGUGGCUUAAUUUGAAUCAACACGGGGAAACUUACCAGGACCAGAUGUUUUUUAUGACUGACAGGCUUUGGGUCUUUCAGGAUAUGAUUUUUGGUGGUGCAUGGCCGUUGGUGGUGCGUGGGUUGACCUGUCUAGCGUUGAUUCAGCUAACGAGCGAGAUUAUCGCCAAUUAUAUACUACGCCUAGGUUUCUAGG